rnacentral:lncRNA from 1 species
UUUUUUUUAUUAAUUACAAACCCUUAGGAUCAAGGUAUGCAAACAAAAGGGAAGAACAGGACGCCAAGGAAGGGGCAGGGGAAUAUAGGUGAGGUGACGAAGGCAGCAUACAUUUUCCUACCAGGGAAUCGUCUGGAACACUAUGGGCCAUUUUUCUUUUUUAUAGAUCCGUUGGGAGUUCCCAUUGUGGCUCAGAGGAAAUGAAUCCGACUAGCAUCAUGAGGAUGCAGGUUGGAUCCCUGGCCUUACUCAGGGGAUUAAGGAACCCACGUUGCUGUAGCUGUAGUGUAGACCAGCAGCUACAGCUCCAAUUCAACCCCUAGCCUGGGAACUUCCAUAUACAUGGGUGUGGCCCUAAAAAGUGGGAAAAAAAAAAAAAAAAGAAAGAAAAAAAAUCCGCUGUUGACUUAAUUCUAGAUACACUGUUUCUAUAGGAGAUGUCCUAAGGAGCUUGCAUUUUGUCAGUUUGUGUGUAGUUUUACAACCCUUCUCAAGGAUUUCUUUUUGCAUCUCCUUCAUAGUCUUGAGGUGGGUCUGAGUCUUAGGUCUGGCCCUGCCCCUUGGAACUGUGGGAAAGAACAAAGGACAUCUCCCCCAGGGAUGAGCUGGGGGAAGAGAAGGUGCAGGGCAAAUAACCAAAUGCCCAAUGUGGGAGCAACUGCAGCAAUUGCAAGCAAGGAAUGUGGGAACCCAGGAGCCCAAGCCUUCAGGGCUAUCUGUGGGAAGUCACAGCUCUUCAUCAGUGAGGGUGAUCUGGGCAGGACCAAAAGCCCAGGGAGUUCCGUCUGCAGGUGGAGAUGAAGGGCUGAGGGAUGGAGUGGGGUCGGAGAGCAACAGGUCCUACUUUUCCUAUGGCAGGAUGGCAGUUAAUCCACACUACAUCAGGGCUGUGCAGGGAAGAUGCCGUUUAUUUGUUUUGUCUCUAAUUUUGCUGAUCUUCCCCCGAGCCUUCUUCCCCCACCGAUUAGGAGGCCAAAAAGUAACUAACUGUCCAAUCUCAUUUAAAGCUUCAAUAACUUACACAGUCUUUUUGGGUAGAGUUCAGUGUCUCAUGGAUAAAAGAUCCCUUCUCCUCCUUUUCACUCUAAGGUAGCCUCUGGGAUACAGAGGAAGGGCUAUGUGUGAUUUAUACAAAGGAGGGUCUCAGCUGUACCAUCAGCAUCCUUGGAGGGCCAGCAAGCUUUCCUGUGUCUGCCUGUGGGCUGCUUGCCCUCCUGGCCUUUUCCAGUGAAGCCAGGUUGCUGUUGAAUAUGCAACCUGGCCUCUCUUGGCUUGACCAGAGCUCUCAGCACUUCCAGAUUUGACCCAUCAAUUCCAGAAUUGACCUGGCUCUCCUGUGGCUGUGUGGCCCCUCAGAGGCCCCAGUGCCCGGAUUCCACUCUGCAGCCCUGGCUACAGAAUCACCCUUCCCAGUGAUAACUCUGGUCUCUCUCCCAGCAGUUUCUUUUUAGUAGCCCGGUUGUUACAAAAGCUCACUGUUUCAUUGCUUCAUUUUAUAACUGGGCUAAAUGUCAGCCUUGGGGGAGGGAGGCAGAGAACCCAUCUACUAUUAAGGCUACUCAAAUAAUGAGAAACAAGGCCCCCAAAUUCCUCUGCAUUGACCGAUGCUUCAGACCAAAGUGUUGGAACUGACCGGUUGUCCUGGCAUCUGGUGGCGAUGGCGUUUUUUUUUUUUUUUUUUUUUUUUUUGGCCAAUCUGGAAACCUGAGCGGUCUUUUAUUUCCAACCCUCUCAACUCUGCUCUCAAUGAGUAUGGAAAGUGUUGCAUGUGGAAAUUGCCUGGGCGACUGGGGGAAACGUUGCCAAAAGAGAAACUUUCCAGUUCUUAGCUUUCAAAGUGUGCACUGUGCCAUAUGUCAUGAGGUAAUACAGAUUCUCUGAAUGGGGGCGCCACCGCCAAUGAAAGCAGCGACUCAACAGUCGGCAAAUACAGUUCUAGUCAGUAAUCAGAGGCAAAAGAAGAAUUCCUAAGAAAGAGCAAAGGCACAGGCAACCAGAAGCAGCACAAAAUGGAGGGGAGCUGCCCUCGGGCCCAGAGCUUCGUUUUGUUUAGGAGGGGAAAAUAGGCUUGAAAGUGUUCCUGAAGGAGCAGUCUUCGUGUUAACUGAUACCAUCUGGAAAUCAACAAAAUUCAGAUUUUAUUUUUACAGAUUUGUACCAAAACCCAGUUCCAGCCAGGGAACCUCAAAUCUCCGAAGCCUCCAACAGGGCACUGAGAUAUAAAUAAUCAGUUAGCAAAAGCCGCCUUCAAAAAUGACAGGCGAAGGUUGUUGUCUUCUCCUCUGUAUUUAAAUCAAGAGAUGAGGUGAGAUGUGACCAAGUGCAUGGAGAUAUGAUAGUCUGGUGAUGCAUUUUUAGUCAUUUUUAACCCAUAGAUACCAGCCUCAGAACAGGCAGAUUUUAUCUUCGAGACCCUUCAUUCCCCUUAAGUAUCCCCUGUCCUCACUCUGACCCCCUUGUCCCCUCUCUGCUUCCUCCCCCCAUCACAGUUCUCUCAGCAGAUAAUGAUUUAAUGGAUUCGUUAGUCUUUUUCCUCAGCUACCCUAACUUUUCCCCAUAUUUGCUUUUUAUUUAUUUAUUUUUCUUUUAAAGCCAAACCUGUUGCAUAUGGAAGUUCCCAGGCUACAGGUCUAAUCAGAGCUGCAGCUGCCGGCCUACACCACAGCCACAGCAACGCCAGAUCUGAGCCGUGUCUGCAAUCUACACCACAGUUCACGAUAACGCCAGACCCUCAACCCGCUGAGCAAGGCCAGGGAUCGAACCUGCAUCUUCAUGGAUAUUAGUCGGGUUUAUAACCACAACAGAAACUCCCAUAUUUGCAUUUUUUAAAAAAUUUAUGGCUGCAUUUGCAGCAUGUGGAAGUUCCUGGGCCAGGGACUGAAUCUGAGCCACAGCUGCAACACCAGACCUUUUAAACCAUUGCGCCAGUGCAGGAAUCAAACCUGCAUCUCUGCAGCAACCUGAGCUGCUGCAGUCAGACUCUUAACCCACUGCACCGUGGAGCACAAGUGGGAGUACUCCCAUAUUUACAUUUUAACAAGGCUUUUGGGAGAUAGUAAUGCUUCUAAAAGGAGUUGUCUGAAUUGUGGGAACUUUAAGCAGUAACCUGGCGGUCUUGGACCGGUAGGGUAAAGGGAAGGAGCUGCAUUUUGCAUUUGGAGAGUUGGUACAUUUCUUAAAUCACUGUUCUGCAGACUGUCGCCACCUGCACGUGACCAUUCUGGUAUGAGGCCGGCUGGAGCUUACCUUGGCUGGGCCUUGCAUCUCCUUCCACAUCCUGGCAGGUGUGAGCAGGAAGAGCUGUGAGUCUUGCUUUCCUGGAUAGCACAGGCCAUGAACUAGUCUACGUUGGUGGCCGAGAGCAAUUAGUGCAGAUUUCCCUGGGUAACUGGGUGAAAAGUAGGCCCCAUGAAUAAUUCUCUGCCUGCAUGUGGCCAUCUCCAAACAGAUUUCUGAGCCAGAACACUACAGCUUCUCAGAGAGUCCCCUGUGCCUGGUUUCUUUCUCUGGCCCUGCUCGGAAGUGAGAUUCAGCGUGAUCAUAGUUCCAUGGCUGCUCAGAUGUACUUUGGUGCUUCCAGCUGCUCCACACUGGCCCAUAAGGUCAUUCUCGUGCUAGGCCAGGUCUCAGGCUUGUUAAUUAGAUGGAAAGUCAAGACAGACAGGAUACAAAUUUUCCUAGAAAGACACCAGCAUGGCGUGACAUCAGGACUGUUUCCAACUUUCAGUGGUGAUUAUGGCCUCUGCCCUUUCCUGCUUCCUGAGGACAACAGUCCAACACGACUUUCAGCACAAUUAGAAUGAACUGUUUCAGCCAGUGUUAAAGGGGUGGGGUGUGGGCCUUAGAACCACAAAGCACUGAUUUUUCACUGAUUUCUCAAGCUGAUGCUCAUGCAAACCUGCAAUUGGGAAUACACGGAAUUUCCUAGUUUUAGUUUUAUUUGUACGCAGGAUGUAUUUGCAUGAUAUUUUAUUGUUGGCAAGCACUUUCACAUUCAUGGCCUCAUUUGAGCCUGACCAGAAUCAUUUGAGGUAGAUUAGGUGGGGGUCAAUCCUUCCCUUUGAUGAGUGAAGAGAGUCGAAACUCAGAGGGCUCCCAAAGGUAGCAGUGAAAAGGUAGGAGGGAUUCCUGGUUUCCUGAAUCCUAGACCCUAUUUCUGUUGUAUCAAAUCAUCUUUCAUUAAGACCCAGAGAGAACUGUGGGUUGGUCAAUCUGUUGAAAAGGACAUGUGCCUCUUUUCUGUCCAGCAUCCCUUCCUAUGAGAAUCACCACACCCCCAUUUCAUCAGUCCCUAACUGAAGGGAUAGAGCUAAAGUCUGACCCAAUCGGAGUAUUCUGUUACCUCCCCCUGACACUAUAAUUGGCUCAGGUAUGAGCACAUGACCUAAGCUGGCCAAUCACAGCCUUCCCUGGGCCUUUUGUUAAAGAGUUUGGGAAGGUGCACUCUCUUUUUUUUUGGGUCUUUGCUGAAUGAAGCAAGAGUCUGACUGGGAAUGAAGGCGAGCAGAGGGAACCAGAGCUGAGAGAUGGAGUCCUGAAUGUUAUUAUUUAAACCAUUCAUCCAGCUGUGACUGAAACUCUUCUGUGAGCCAAUAAAUUCCUUUUUUGCUUAAGCCAAUUGCAGUUGUUUUUAUGACACUUGCAAAUGAAAGGAGUUAUUGACUAAUAAAACUGCCGUUCCUGUCUUUCCCAGAAUUAGGAAAAUUGUUUAUUUGUAAUAUGCUUUAGUCCUUCCCAUACACAAAAAAUUCUGAGGCAGCUUAUAAAAACAAAUUGGAAAAAUAGGCAAUAAGCCAAAAAAAAAAAAUCAAAGGGAAAAUUUAAUAAAUUAAAUACGUCAUAUGUAUACAUAUAACACAAUCUUUCUAUUAUGUUGACAAAAUUGUUUUUAAAAUUAUAAUACCAAGUAUUAUUGAGGAUGCUGGGAAAUAGACACUGGUGAUGGAAAAAUUAUAAACUAAUGCAAACUUUCUAGAGAGAAAUUUGGCAAUGCUUAUUCAUAUCCAGUUCUUGUUCAUAACUAACAAUUGGAAUAUACCUAGGAAGGACAUAAUUAAAUAAAAAAGAAAGCAUGUAAAUAUUUAGCUAUAAAUGAGUUCCUGCUGUGGCACAAUAGGAUUGGUGUUGUCUCUGCAGCACCAGGACACAGGUUUGAUCCCCAGCCUGGCACAGUGAAGUUAACGAAUCCCAAGUUGCCACAGCUGCAGU